rnacentral:lncRNA from 1 species
GGCUCAGAGUUCGGUGAGUUCUUGGUGCACAGAGCUCCAAGAACCACUCCAGCACGCUGCCUGCCACGGAGCAGGGUUUCAGCAAGUAUUUGCUGGAUGAGUGAGAGGCUAAGUGGAUGAAUAAAGAUCUAAGUCAGAGUCAAGCUAGGAAUAGUCUGCACCUCAAGGCUCUACCAGCACUAGGAAAGGGUCUACCUAGAGACUGCAGAAGAGAUGAGCCUACAUGAAGAUAUUCAAGGAGACCCAGGGAAGGUGUCUAAGAGGCUGUGAAAGCAUGAAGUCACACGGGCCAUGGCUGUCAGCAGAGGAGGUGCCCUUUUCCAGAUCUGGAGCUGCACUAUAAUUCCAUGGGACCUAGAAUAAAAAUUACAACUGCAAACCUGGGAAGGACCUUUUUCUGGAAUGUUACCAAAGGAUGAUUGUAAAACAACUUGAGGACCUCAAAUGAAAGAGGUCUUGCAGAAUAAAGAGGUGAAGAAAGACGGACCCUCCCUUCAGCCUACCUGUGAGAUGGAAAUACCCCUAUGGGCUAUGGCCCUUUGUCAUCUUACGGCAGUUUCUGACAUAGCAGUGCUAGCUACCAUCUGCAACGCCUCUUUCCCUGGGCAGCGGACUGAGGGUGGGUGCCCCUGCUCACCUACCACGUGUGGGGCCCCUCCAGCCCCGCCUGUGCCCAGACUUUGGCACCGGUAACAGUUUGUGCUUUGGGCAAGAUGCCCUCUCUUGUUGACCCUCUUCAUUUCUGUCUGGUUGGCUUCACACCUUGUAAACGGUUUGUGUUUUGCAGAGAAGGAAAGCUUGUGUGUGGGCAGGAGGGACAAAGAGUAAAGCCCCCUCAUCUUUGCUCUGUCCUCUGUGCAGGGCCCCACAGGCAGUGAGAAGAUAAUAAAUAUUUACUGAAUUAAAUCAGCUCAAACUUCAUCCAGAGCAUCUCAGACCAAGGGGCUCAUUUUACAGAUGAGGGUGUGGGGACCCGGGGAGGGGACGCCCUCUGUGUGGGGCCUGAGAAGGGUGGACACACUGGACACUUGUUAGUAUUGUCUGGGAACCUUGAUGGCACCUGAUGCUCAGCUGGCAUCCUGACCGAUUAAGUCAGAAUUCUGGGGUGGGACCAGGUGGAGGUGUGAAAACUCUGAAGAUGAUCCAGGUGAUCUGGUUGGCAGGCCCUGGCCUCAGGGGUAGGUGAAGGCAGAGCCUAUAUGUGGAGACCAGACCAGAGAGGGUGCUGUCUGUGCCCCUACCGACCCCCAACAAGGAGGGGU